rnacentral:rRNA from 1 species
UACGAAGGGGGCUAGCGUUGCUCGGAAUCACUGGGCGUAAAGGGUGCGUAGGCGGGUCUUUAAGUCAGGGGGGAAAUCCUGGAGCUCAACUCCAGAACUGCCUUUGAUACUGAGGAUCUCGAGUUCGGGAGAGGUGAGUGGAACUGCGAGUGUAGAGGUGAAAUUCGUAGAUAUUCGCAAGAACACCAGUGGCGAAGGCGGCUCACUGGCCCGAUACUGACGCUGAGGUGCGAAAGCGUGGGGAGCAAACAGG